CAGUAGCCGCGGUAAUACGGAGGGUGCAAGCGUUAUCCGGAUUCACUGGGUUUAAAGGGUGCGUAGGCGGAUCUGUAAGUCAGUGGUGAAAUCUCCAGGCUUAACCUGGAAACUGCCGUUGAUACUAUAGGUCUUGAAUUUUGUGGAGGUUAGCGGAAUAUGUCAUGUAGCGGUGAAAUGCAUAGAUAUGACAUAGAACACCAAUUGCGAAGGCAGCUGGCAACACAACUAUUGACGCUGAGGCACGAAAGCGUGGGGAUCAAACAGGAUUAGAUACCCCAGUAGUCCCUGUCUCUUAUAC
rnacentral:rRNA from 1 species